UUGGAAGGUUAUAAGUUCCGAGUAUAUUCAACAGUAGUUUGUCCAAAAAAUGAAGCUGAGUGGGAAAAGAGAUCGUCUGCUCUUAUGUGUUCUGAGGAAAAUGCAUACAUGUGUUUACCAAACGAACAUUUUACAGAGCUAUUGGAGUUUUGUUAUACAGAGAGUAGAAUAUUAAUUGAAGAAGGCCUUUGUCUUUAUUUAAUCAAAAGCAAUUCAUUAGUAAAUGAUUACAACUGCAACAAUUUUCGAUAUGGAUGCCCUACGUCUCCAUAUCUGAGCUCUAGAAUAUUUGAUUAUCCAAGUUGUGUACAUAUUGAAAAUGGAUGUUUCUUAACCGAACCAAAUUGUAAAAGUACAAAACCCACCUACACUCCAAAAACAACAACGCACAUACAAUUUGAGAAUGGCUUGAAUGAUAGUAUAACAACUAUUUCUCAAGAAACUACAAAGAAAAUACAGUUAGAGAUGAAUCCUAUCAACGACAAAACAAAUUGGAACCUGGUUGCAAUAAUUGUGUUAUUAGGCACAUUCGUCCCCAUAUGCCUGAUAUUCCUGACGUACAUCUACU